UAUUAAAGGCACGCCUGCCCAGUGAACAAUUAAACGGCCGCGGUACCCUAACCGUGCAAAGGUAGCGUAAUCACUUGUCUAUUAAUUGUAGACCCGUAUGAAAGGCAAAAUGAGGGCCUAACUGUCUCUUAUAAUAAAUCAAUUAAACUGAUCUCCCAGUACAAAAGCUGGAAUACCAACAUAAGACCAGAAGACCCUGUGAAGCUUAAACUAAACUAUUAAAACACAUAAUAAUUACUUUCGGUUGGGGCGACCUUGGAAAAAAAAARAACUUCCAAUAGGCCGACAAGCCAAACACCAGACCCAGCACAGCUGACAAUUGAACCAAGUUACUCCAGGGAUAACAGCGCUAUCUUCCUCAAGAGCCCAUAUCAAAAGGAAGGUUUACRACCUCGAUGUUGGAUCAGGACAUCCUAAUGGUGCAGCCGCUAUUAAGGGUUCGUUUGUUCAACGAUUAAUAGUCCYACGUGAUCUGAGUUCARACCGGAGA
rnacentral:rRNA from 1 species